UAAACUUCUCCCUCCCAACCUCCCCAUUGAUUUUAUGUUUCUACGUGGCGUUAGAUUUUUGCUCACUAUCAUAAUUUUUUUUAGUAGAGCGGCAUCACUUAAUUUCCCGCAAAAUCGUCAGACGACAGAAAACGCACCCCUAUUUUUGCAACGCUAAAAAGUAGAAAAUAUCUUCACUGUACACUUCGCAAUGAUGAUCGGUCGCUCUCAAAAGAAAUACAGCAUACCAAGAAAUCCGCAACGUCGCAUACCUAGAUGCGAGUUUUCUAACCGUCCACAUUUGGUAUUAUUAUCAACGCGGGUUUCCUGGAAGGUGAUGGUGGAACAAGCGGAAAGAACAAUUAGUGGGUACAGUAUUGCACUCAUUGUCUUCAUCCAGGAUCCAGUCACUACAAAGUUUGGUGAAAAAUUAUCCCGCAGGAAGCAAUAAAUAGAUACAGACACUCGGACGAUGUUGUCCCAGUCCCUUUGGCUUCCCUGCUGCAUAGUUUGCAUAAGUAAAUGAACUCAAGUUCAUGACUCAUAAUAAACAUCCGCGAGUUAUUAUUAGUCUUUCCCAUUUUAACUCUGUGCCGAUAGACUAUCGCUACAUCGAUUCAUUAGAUGGAUAAAUUAUUUUUUUAACUUAAUUAUUAAAAUAAAACGUCUCUAUCUCCGGAUUUUGAAUGGGCCAAGGGAUCGAACUACAUCAUGGGAUUGCAACAUUUCUGGCAGUAUUUGAAUUUUUGCGAAUGCUGCGUAGGCCUAUGGGCGUCAUUUAACGUAUUCCCCAUUGAAAAGAGGAAAACAUUAUUUUUUUAAUAUCUUUUUUUUGCGUAAUCGUUUGAGACGAAAUCUGCCUGCUAAGGAGAAACGCCGUAUGAGCUUUUAGACGUCGCCAUAUUUCCUCUCGUAAAUAUCGAAUUUACACAGAAAAUUGAGAGUAUUUUUCCUCAAAUUAUUUGGACAGUCUCAUCUGCAAUUUAAUAAAAAUAUCUGAAAAUUUCAAGGAUAAAUAUUCACAUCUUUCCUCUGAAAUACAUGAUAUAUUCGAAGAAAUUUGGCAACUCUCGAAUUAUCUUACGGCGUUCUUCCUUAGCUGGGCAGAGAUAGCAGAGGACUUUUUUGUGAGUGAUGUUGUGUUUUCCUAUAUCGAAGGCUGUAAGAAUAGAGAUAAGGCUUGCGGUUUAACAAGAUCGCAGGGCAGACUGUGCUAGCACCCUGCUGUUCAGUAUACAAAUUGUUGCUACCUAUGACAUUCAUAGAUGUUUAAUGGAUGACAAUUUUUUGAGCGUUUGAUCAUUGUGUAAGGUUUGAUAAAAAUCAAAGAUGCUUUUCGAAAUUAGUUACAACAUUGCCUCAAUGCGUUAAUGUUCCCCAGGUAUUCACAAUCAGUUUAAAUCUACACUACUUUAAUCCCAAGCAAAUACC
rnacentral:lncRNA from 1 species